rnacentral:rRNA from 1 species
GACGAACGCUGGCGGCGUGCCUAAUACAUGCAAGUCGAGCGAAUGGAUGGGAGCUUGCUCCCUGAAGUUAGCGGCGGACGGGUGAGUAACACGUGGGCAACCUGCCUGUAAGACUGGGAUAACUUCGGGAAACCGGAGCUAAUACCGGAUACAUUCUUUCUUCGCCUGAAGAAAGAUGGAAAGAUGGUUUCGGCUAUCACUUACAGAUGGGCACGCGGCGCAUUAGCUAGUUGGUGAGGUAACGGCUCACCAAGGCAACGAUGCGUAGCCGACCUGAGAGGGUGAUCGGCCACACUGGGACUGAGACACGGCCCAGACUCCUACGGGAGGCAGCAGUAGGGAAUCUUCCGCAAUGGACGAAAGUCUGACGGAGCAACGCCGCGUGAGCGAAGAAGGCCUUCGGGUCGUAAAGCUCUGUUGUUAGGGAAGAACAAGUACCAGAGUAACUGCUGGUACCUUGACGGUACCUAACCAGAAAGCCACGGCUAACUACGUGCCAGCCGCCGCGGUAAAAC